GCUGUCCUGGACCUGCCAGCAGCACAGAUGCAGAUGCUCUGCUAUGCCUGUAACAUCAGGGCAAAGUGAAAGUGGCUAUUUCUACACUCAGUGUUCAGAAAACAGUGAACAAGAAUGGAUAACAGCCUGACAUUU
ensembl:snoRNA